UACAACCCCUGGAGGCGGUGCCGUAGGGGCGGGGCUUGUCAGGGGCGUGGUCGGGGCAGAACUAGCCGCCCUGCCGGCCUCUCUCGCCCUCUGGUGGCCGGGUCGCUUCAGGCCGGUACCAUCAAAGCAACUGAGAAGUUAGCUUGAGUUGGGACCCCCACCUCCCUGGGAACUACAGGCCUCGGAUGGUAUACCAGUACUGAGCAUCACAGCCCUGCAAGAGUAAAGUGGGGAGCCCAGCCCUGGUCAAUAUGGUCCGCACAACUGUCUCCCCAACUCUACUUUGUUCAGCACAAAUAUGCUGGCGUUUGUAGGAGGAAGAGAAGAGGGACUGAGGAAGCAGGCUCUGCUGCGGAGUAAGGAGCAGACGAGAUUGACAGUGUGUACCAGAUGGAAAAGGUGGAGAAGAGAACUUUUAACAGUAAAAUAAGUGCCAGAGACGUUAUGAGCGGUUUGACUUCUUCUGUAUCUUUGGAGGCUCAGAACCUCAGAAGCACAGCAGUGUUGCACUCUAUUUCUUACUGGCAGCUGUGGCCCAGAUGUUGAGUUCGAAAUGACCCUCCCUUCACCACUGGGGUGUGUUGUUGUUGUCCCCGCAGGGCUGAUCACUAGCCAGACCUCGAGCACCUGGCAUCUUCUGGACAGAAAUUAGGAUGACAGCUACCAGAAACAUUCCCCCAACUCAGCUGGGAAGACCCAACCUGGCUGCCUUCCAACCA